rnacentral:lncRNA from 1 species
UCCUUCUCAUUGGACAGCGGGGAGUAAUUCCCUCAACCCUGCCUCCCCCGCACCUCAGGAUUGGGCGCUCCUCUAUAAACCCACCCAUCUCAGGCUCCACGAAUGGAGGGAGGAGCGAACUUCUGCGACACGGAUUGGUCUUUUGCACUGCCAAUCGUAGCCGCGCUGGCCGCGCCCAUUGGUUCUGAUCGUUCUGGAAAUUUCCACCUCUCCCAUUGGGCUGCCGGACUCCAUGUCGGAACCGCCUUCAGAAUGAGAGCGAUUCCAAUUGGGCGGAGGGUUGCCAACUCUUUGCGCUGAUUGGUUUAAAUCGCUGCCCUUCAAAAGGCCGGGUUUCGCCCCGCCCCUGAUAUAUGGGAGUACCGGCUGCAGUCGGGGUCUGUAGCUGUGUCGCCGGCGGCUGCGGGGCCUCUGGGUUGCUUUCCCUCUCGCUCCCGAGUGCCGCGAGUUCCAGGCGGUCCCCGGGAUCGCCAGCGGCACAGGGCCCCAGCCCUUCGCCCGCGCAUCGGGAUGGGGGUCCUAGCCGGUGGGAGCUGCCUGUCCCUCGAGCGCCAGCUACCCGCGUUGUCCAGCGCUCCGGCCUCGGCCCGGCCCUCCUGCCUCCUGGCUGUUAGGUUCUGAAUGUUCCGGAAAUGCCACGUGACCGCGAGGGCGCUUGGGCUUGGGCUGGACAGGCCGGGGAUCUCACCGCGGCGGGCCCGGCUGUCCCGCUUGGGCGUCCUCAGUGGAACCGCACACCCUUUCUCAGCGCGCCGGUCGUUUGGUCCUGUAGGGCCGAGGGGAAUUCGUGCGGUGUUGAGCACGCGGGAAGCACUUAACGAAAGGGAGCUGCCCCUCAGCCCUCGUGAGUCCGAUGUAAAGGAGUGAAGGAGACGAAGAACUGAAUCAGUAGUUGACCGCCUGUGAGCUGGCGAGCUGUGCCCUGGUAGGGCCUUAAAUCCCAGCCCCAGAAGUCGGAGGCAGGGCAGGCACCCCAAAGCGUGGAAGAGAUGCACCUGCGGAGUGAAAAUGCUGCUAUUGCUUCUAGGGUCAGCCUUGGUUCCUGGAACAAAGGAGCCGCAUGACUCGGGUCUGGCGAUGAUGUUGGGCUCUGCAGUGUCCUCAUCCUUCCCCCUCUCUGGGUAAUGAUAUCUUCCCAGGGUUUAAAGUGUGUCCUCUCUGCCAGUAGCUUGUCUCCACAGCCUCAUCUUUAAUUCCACCUGCCCCACCCAUUUUGGACACUGCAGCCAAGUUGCAGCAGAUCCGCAAACCUGGUAAUCCCUCACUUGAAAGUGCUGGAGGCUUUAGGAUGGGGUUCAGGGCCUGUGCAAUCUAACCGCCUGCUUUUUUUUUUUUUUUUUUUUUUUUUUUUUUGAGACGGAGUCGAAUCUCACUGUCUCCCAGGCUGGAGUGCAGUGGCGCCAUCACAGCUCAUUGCAGCCUCAACCUCCUGAGCUCAAGCCAUCCUCCCACCUCAGCCUCCCAAGUACCUGGGGUUACAGGCAAGCACCAUUACGCCUAGCUAAUUUUUCUGGGUUUUUUUUUUUUGUUUUUUUUUUUGUAUAGAUGGAUUUCGCCAUGUUGUCCAGGCUGGUCUUAAACUCUCGCUCUGUCUCCCAGGCUAGAGUGCAGUGGGGCAAUCUCGGCUCCCUGCAACCUCUGCCUCCUGGGUUCAAGCAAUUAUCCUGCCUCAGCCUACCAGUUAGCUGGGAUUACAUGUGUGCGCCACCGCGCCCGGCUAAUUUUUUUAUUUUUAGUAGAGGCGGGGUUUCACCAUGUUGACCAGGCUGGUCUCAAGACUACUGACCUCAAGUGAUCCCCCCCCCCCCCCGCCUCGGCCUCCCAAAGUGCUGGGAUUACAGACGUGAGCCACCGUGCCCAGCGGUUUUGCAUUUUCAAUUGUGGGGCACGGUGAGAAAAGACUUGAAGAAAGCAAGGGAGUGAGAUCCAUGGAAAUGUAGGGGGGAACCUUGCAGGCCUAUGGAACAGCCAGUGCAAAGGGCCUGGGGUGGGAGCUGCCUCAGGGUAGCCAGGAUGGCAGGAGGCACAGCUGCCGAGAGGAAGCAGGGGCCAGGUCCUGCAAGGUUAGAGGCCAUUGCUACUCCUGAACACAUUGGCAGGUUUUGAGCAGAGAAGUGACAUGAUUUUAGUUUUCUCAGGAUCCCUCUGGCUGCUGUGUGGAGGAAGAGGGGAGGGUGAGAGCAGGGAUACCUCUUAGGAGGCUGUGGUAGUAAUCCCAGGGAGCCAGGAUGGGAGCAGAGGAGGGGACAGGAAUUGGAUUCUGGAUGCAUUUUGGAGGGAGCAUGAAGGAAAGCGGGGUCAAAGGUUCCUCUGAGGCCUUGGCUGCCUCUCUUAUUCAUCUACAUCCAUUCUGUCAAGGACACCUUUCAUUUCUUCUUGGCACUGUCUCAAGGCCACCACGCUGCUGCCCACCUGACCAGCAGUGGCCUUUCCAGGCCUUCCAUCUUCUCCCCAGCAGCUUAUCUCUGCGUAGCCAGGUCCCAUUUCCCACACACCUUUUUUUAAAGUGUGUUGCACUGCUCUGGGUGCAGGACUGUAGCAGUGACCAGGGCAGCUCCAGAUGAAGCUUCUGCUCACAGGAACCUUUUCUACUGAAACAGAUGAUACCUAAACUCUCAGCUGUGUGACUUUAAGCAACUUGCACAACCUCUCUGUACUUCAGUUGCCUCCAUCUUCAAAUGGGGAUUAAAAAGUGUUGACAUCAUAGUGGUUGUGAGGAUUACAUGAUUUGAUAGUUUAUAAAGCACUUAGAACUUGUGAAGAAGAGUGCCUGGGGAUUGCCUAAGGUCAGGAGUUCAAGACCAGCCUGGCCAACAUGGAGAAACCUCAUCUCUGCUAAAAAUACAAAAACUAACCACGCAUGGUAGUGCACACCUCUAGUCCCAGCUACUUGGGGGGCUGAGGCAGGAGAAUCACUUGAACCUGGGAGGUGGAGAUUGCAGUGAGCCAAGAUUGCGCCACUGCACUCCAGCCUGGGCAACAGAGCAAGACUCGGUCUCCAAAGAAAAAAAAAGAACUGCCUGGCUACGGAAUAAGAACUACAUGGAGUUAUUAAAUCAAAAUCGGUGCACAAAUGAUAAUUCUUAAGAGUGAGUGCUACAGAGAACACAAAAGGCAAGGCACAGAGAGAUGACCUGGGAGGCAGGGAAGGAAAGCAUUCCCAGAGAGUCUCUUUCUGUCACCCGGUCUGGAGUGAAGUGGCGCAGUCUCAGCUCUCUGCAACCUCUGCCUCCCAGGUUCAAGCAAUUCUUCUGCCUCAGCCUCCCAAGUAGCUGGGAUUACAGUUCUGGAGGCUGCAAGCCCAGGUUCAAGGCAUCAGCAGGUGUGGUUUCCUCCGAGGCCUCUCCCCGUGGCUUGCAGAUGGCUGCCUUCUUCCUGCAUCCUCACGUGGUCCCUCCUCUGCACUCCAGCAUCCUUAAUGUCUCUUUGUGUGUCCAACUUUCCGCCCCCCCCCACCCCUUUUUUUUCUGAUGGAGUCCACCCAGACUGGAGUACAGUGGCGUGAUCUCAGCUCACUGC